UACGUAGGGUGCGAGCGUUAAUCGGAAUUACUGGGCGUAAAGGGUGCGCAGGCGGCUCCGCAUGUCGGGCGUGAAAGCCCCGGGACUUAACCCGGGAAUGGCGUCCGAAACUAUGGAGCUGGAGUGUGGCAGAGGGAGGUGGAAUUCCACGUGUAGCGGUGAAAUGCGUAGAGAUGUGGAGGAACACCGAUGGCGAAGGCAGCCUCCUGGGCCAACACUGACGCUCAUGCACGAAAGCGUGGGGAGCAAACAGG
rnacentral:rRNA from 1 species